GAGAAAAAAGAUGUGUAAGGAAUUAGCCCAUGGACCCCAGCUCCACCUGAACAUCAAUAUACCGUGAGGACAUUCCAGAGUCCCUGCAAAAGGUCUCGUGAGCUGCAGUUCAUUGAGUGGCUUUAGGUCACACGGAGAAAGGAGGGUUCCAGUUCCCUCUGAGAGCAGGGCAGCCCAGGAGCCGGCACGGAAGGAGCAGGAUGCGUGUCACCUGAGACUCCGAUGAGGGUGCAAGCCACAGCACUCGUGUGUGAGAACGGAGAGAAGCAGGUGCUGACAGGUGCAGAGCCUGCUCCUGCCCCCUGGGCUAGAUGGGACAUGCGUACUGACCUCACGGGCUUGCUGUGAGGACUAGAUGAGAGAAUGCGAGCGUUGUCCAGAGCCAGCACAACACCUGACCCAUAGGAGGACCUGUUCAGUGGACAAGGCCGACCAACUGUAGAGUGUGGCCGUGAGGUUGAGAGAGGCCACUCACAAGUGUCCAGGGUCAGCCUCAGGCCAGCCCAGGACAUGAAACCCUUUAAUGGCAUGUAGAGUCAGCAGGGCAGGACUCCGGAGCUGCGGCUGUUCAGUAGGAAAGACCAAAAGCAAAUGGUAAACAAGAGAGAAGACACACAUGCAUGCACAAAUAAAAACAGCAGCACCACCACCACCACCACCGCCGCCACCACCAGCAAGCCAUGGAAUGCUGGGCCGGAGAGGCUGCCCAGAGAGCUGUCCUGACUCUGAAUUCACAGAAGUCCUUGCUACAAACUCCAACCUUCUAUUCUAUAGAAGCCUUAGCCAGGGCAGAACAUCGGUUACUUGUGGAAGACUCAAGAAUCAGAUCUGAAGUCUGCUCUCCUGGCCUCUUGGUAUGCUCUGUGGUGAGGGAGAUCCGGCAGCAAGCGGGGGGCACCUUCCCCUGGCAAGAACCCUGAGGGGCCCACGGCAAAGCCCUGCUGCUGCUCCUUCCUCAGCCUCAUUCUCACAGUAAGCCUGGCUGCGGAAAGUCAGUGUGGGUGCUGAGGGGCCUUCCAGAGCAGGUGCCGCCAUUUUGUCUGGCUGAAUCCAGGCCCCUCCAGCCAAAAAAUGGAGCAUAGAGAUUUAAAAUCCUUAGAGGGAAAUGGAUAAAGGUGCUUUCCAUUCACGUCUCGGUUUUUGGGAUAUCAAAAAUGGGAGUAUGAAGAGACCUCUAGAGGUAGAUUUUGGGAGUACAUUCAGGAAAAUUUCACAAGCCCCUUUCCUGCCUCUACAAAGCCACUUAUUAAAUAUAAGGACUGUAAUAGU